GAUGAAGAACGUAGCGAAAUGCGAUAAUUAAUGUGAAUUGCAGAAUUCAGUGAAUCAUCGAAUCUUUGAACGCACAUUGCGCCCCUUGGUAUUCCGAGGGGCAUGCCUGUUCGAGCGUCAUUAUAACCCUCAAGCUCAGCUUGGUGUUGGGGCCUGCUGCACUGGCAGCCCUUAAAAUCAGUGGCGGCGCCAUCUGGCUCUAAGCGUAGUAAUUCUUCUCGCUAUGGAGUCCUGGUGGAUGCUUGCCAUCAACCCCCAAUUUUUCUAUGGUUGACCUCGGAUCAGGUAGGGAUACCCGCUGAACUUAAGCAUAUCAAUAAGCGGAGGA
rnacentral:misc_RNA from 1 species